rnacentral:rRNA from 1 species
ACGAACGCUGGCGGCGUGCUUAACACAUGCCAGUCGAACGGAAAGGCCCUGCUUUUGUGGGGUGCUCGAGUGGCGAACGGGUGAGUAACACGUGAGUAACCUACCCUUGACUUUGGGAUAACUUCAGGAAACUGGGGCUAAUACCGGAUAGGAGCUCCUGCUGCAUGGUGGGGGUUGGAAAGUUUCGGCGGUUGGGGAUGGACUCGCGGCUUAUCAGCUUGUUGGUGGGGUAGUGGCUUACCAAGGCUUUGACGGGUAGCCGGCCUGAGAGGGUGACCGGCCACAUUGGGACUGAGAUACGGCCCAGACUCCUACGGGAGGCAGCAGUGGGGAAUAUUGCACAAUGGGCGGAAGCCUGAUGCAGCAACGCCGCGUGCGGGAUGACGGCCUUCGGGUUGUAAACCGCUUUCGCCUGUGACGAAGCGUGAGUGACGGUAAUGGGUAAAGAAGCACCGGCUAACUACGUG